UAGGGAAUCUUCGGCAAUGGACGGAAGUCUGACCGAGCAGCGCCGCGUGAGUGAAGAAGGUUUUCGGAUCGUAAAGCUCUGUUGUAAGAGAAGAACGAGUGUGAGAGUGGAAAGUUCACACUGUGACGGUAUCUUACCAGAAAGGGACGGCUAACUACGUGCCAGCAGCCGCGGUAAUACGUAGGUCCCGAGCGUUGUCCGGAUUUAUUGGGCGUAAAGCGAGCGCAGGCGGUUAGAUAAGUCUGAAGUUAAAGGCUGUGGCUUAACCAUAGUACGCUUUGGAAACUGUUUAACUUGAGUGCAAGAGGGGAGAGUGGAAUUCCAUGUGUAGCGGUGAAAUGCGUAGAUAUAUGGAGGAACACCGGUGGCGAAAGCGGCUCUCUGGUCUGUAACUGACGCUGAGGCUCGAAAGCGUGGGGAGCAAACAGGAUUAGAUACCCUGGUAGUCCACGCCGUAAACGAUGAGUGCUAGGUGUUGGGUCCUUUCCGGGACUCAGUGCCGCAGCUAACGCAUUAAGCACUCCGCCUGGGGAGUACGACCGCAAGGUUG
rnacentral:rRNA from 1 species